AUGAACGCUGGCGGCGUGCCUAAUACAUGCAAGUCGAGCGAACGGACGAGAAGCUUGCUUCUCUGAUGUUAGCGGCGAACGGGUGAGUAACACGUGGAUAACCUACCUAUAAGACUGGGAUAACUUCGGGAAACCGGAGCUAAUACCGGAUAAUAUUUUGAACCGCAUGGUUCAAAAGUGAAAGACGGUCUUGCUGUCACUUAUAGAUGGAUCCGCGCUGCAUUAGCUAGUUGGUAAGGUAACGGCUUACCAAGGCAACGAUGCAUAGCCGACCUGAGAGGGUGAUCGGCCACACUGGAACUGAGACACGGUCCAGACUCCUACGGGAGGCAGCAGUAGGGAAUCUUCCGCAAUGGGCGAAAGCCUGACGGAGCAACGCCGCGUGAGUGAUGAAGGUCUUCGGAUCGUAAAACUCUGUUAUUAGGGAAGAACAUAUGUGUAAGUAACUGUGCACAUCUUGACGGUACCUAAUCAGAAAGCCACGGCUAACUACGUG
rnacentral:rRNA from 1 species